UGGAUUAUGGUUGUCUGUCGGCGUAAUUGCCGGCUCAACUGAAAUACACGAGCAACCCUAUUGAAAUAGACGGUUUGACUUGGCGUAAUAAUUAUUUCGCUAAGGACGUCUUCUUCAAAUAUAAGAGGUGCUUCUAAUGCGCUAUUAUAGCACUUUAAGCUUUAGAUCUCAAAUCAGUCAGGACUACCCGCUGAACUUAA
rnacentral:misc_RNA from 1 species